UAUCCCUGCAUCAAAAAUAUUUAGCGAUGUUUAGUUGUUAUUGCUAUAAAACUUCUUUUUUAUCACGCUAACAGUUUAACGUUUACUUGUUAGCCAAGUUUAACACUUCCAGUCGCAUCAGAUAUGGUAAGCAUUAAACGUGUUUGUGCUAGAUUCUUUACAAAACACUCAAAUCAAAGAUUAUAAAACCAACCUUGCACAACAUCCUCGAGAGUUCCUUCCAUCAUAACUUCAUCAUCAUCGUCGUCAAGUUCAAUGAUUUCUCUCACCGGAGUUGUGUUGCGGUUCCGAUUAAUACAGUAACUGUCAGCGUUAGCCAUCUCCAAAGACACGCGAUGAAAAAGAAGCAUCGCUUCCUCAGGAAAUAUCAUACAUGUGUCUGUUUACUUAGCAGUCUAACAGACACAUCAUACAGUCCAAAGAAAACAUUAGCAACCCAAACAUAUUACAGAACCAGCAACCACACAGGAUACAUGCGACAACAAGGAGACCCAACUUGCUAAGCCCUUUCCCUUUCCCAAACUAAACAUUUUAAAGACACCCACCCUCGGUGCUACUCCCUUCCGAUGAAGUUUGCUCUGCCCUCUCACCACCCUUCUUUGCACGUCCAACAUCUAUGUUACCCUUGCUCCCUUCAGCGAAUUCCGUUGGCGCCUUUUCCAAUGCUUUACCAGCCCUCUUCCCUGUUU
rnacentral:lncRNA from 1 species